rnacentral:rRNA from 1 species
AGAGUUUGAUCCUGGCUCAGGACGAACGCUGGCGGCGUGCUUAAUACAUGCAAGUCGAGCGAGGUUACUGUUUCGGAUCCCUUCGGGGUGAAGAAGCUUUAACCUAGCGGCGGACGGGUGAGUAACGCGUGGGUAACCUACCCCAAAGUCCGGGAUAACAGCGGGAAACCGCUGCUAAUACCGGAUGCCUUUACCUUGGGGCAUCUUGAGGUAAAGAAAGGUAACGCUUUGGGAUGGGCCCGCGUCCCAUUAGCUAGUUGGUGAGGUAACGGCUCACCAAGGCGACGAUGGGUAGCCGGCCUGAGAGGGUGGACGGCCACACUGGGACUGAGACACGGCCCAGACUCCUACGGGAGGCAGCAGUAGGGAAUAUUGCGCAAUGGACGGAAGUCUGACGCAGCGACGCCGCGUGAGCGAUGAAGGUCUUCGGAUCGUAAAGCUCUGUCCUUGGGGAAGAAGGUCUUCGGACUUGACGGUACCCAAGAAGAAAGCCCCGGCUAACUACGUGCCAGCAGCCGCGGUAAU